rnacentral:rRNA from 1 species
UACGUAGGUGGCAAGCGUUGUCCGGAUUUACUGGGCGUAAAGAGCGCGCAGGCGGUCGUUCAAGUCGCGUGUGAAAGCCCCCGGCUCAACUGGGGAGGGUCACGCGAUACUGAUCGACUGGAAGGCAGGAGAGGGUAGUGGAAUUCCCGGUGUAGUGGUGAAAUGCGUAGAUAUCGAGAGGAACACCUGCGGCGAAGGCGGGUUGCUGGGCUGACACUGACGCUGAUGCGCGAAAGCCAGGGGAGCGAACGGG